rnacentral:lncRNA from 1 species
UGGCUGAUCUAUUGGACAUAUCCUAAAUUAUCAAACAAAAUUCUUUAUUUCUUUGUCUUCUAGACAAAUCACCACAGAGCUGCAGACCAGCAACGAAGGGAGCUGAGGGCAAUUUGACCAACAUCAUCUGUGUCGGUUCCCCAGAUGUCAAUGAAACACGUAAUCGGGUCUCCAAGACCACAAGCCUCAGAAGAUCACUGUGGAAGAAACACACUGGGCCAACCCAUCCUGUUGAUAUGACACAAAGUGCAGCCCAGUUUGGUAUUCUUUAAACUCUGAAGGAGUCUCACACCAGGAAGGUGCCUGGAUUCUACAGAAACUGGAAAUGCCAUGAAGAUACAUACGCAAUUAUGAAUUAAUUUGUUUUCAUGUUCACCAUCAGCACUGCUUUUUCAAAGUUUAAUUUUAAUAUUACACUAUUUUAAUUCUCAGCAUGGCAAGUGUGCAC